AAGUCGUAACAAGGUCCCCGUAGGUGAACCUUCGGGGGGGAUUAUUACCGAGCAUCGCGGACCCCUUUGUACCGCGUCCUCCCCAUCCCUUGCUUAAAACCCAACCUUGCUUCGGCCGCUCCGGCGGCCGGAAUUUCAACUCUAAAAUUGGUGUAUCCAAGCGGCGAGAGCCGAACUUAGUACAACCUACAACGAUGGACCUCUUAGUUCCG
rnacentral:misc_RNA from 1 species